GUUCCGGUGGCCUCGUGGUUAGAGCGUCCGCCUCAAAUGCGGGAGGUAGCGGGUUCGAACCCCAGCCGAGUAAUA